rnacentral:rRNA from 1 species
GCCUCCCUCUUUCUUCAGGCUUAACACAUGCAAGUCGAACGGAAAGGCCCUGCUUUUGCGGGGUGCUCGCGGGGCGAAGGGGAGAGUAACACGUGAGUAACCUGCCCUUGACUUUGGGAUAACUUCAAGCAACUGGGGCUAAUACCGGAUAGGUGCUCCUGCUGCAUGGUGGGGGUUGGAAAUUUUAGGCGGUGGGGGGUGUACGCGCGGCUAAUCAGCUUGUUGGUGGGGGAGUGGCUUACCAAGUCUUUGACGGGUAGCCGGCCUGGGAGGUUGAACGGGGACAUUGGGCCUGCGGUACGGCACAGACUCGUAUGGUAGGCAGCAGUGGGGAAUAUUGUCCAAUGGGCGGACGUCUGAUGCAGCGAUGCCGCGUGCGGGAAGACGGCCUUCGGGUUGUAAACGGCUGUCGCCUGUGACGUAGCGUGAGUGACGGUACCAGGUGAAGAAGCACCGGCUAACUACGUG